rnacentral:ncRNA from 1 species
GAGAUAUGAGUAUCGUUAAGAUACGGAAACUCAACUUUGAUUCUAUCUUAAAUCUAGAUAUGACAGGUGUUGCAUGGCUGUCGUCAGUUAGUGUUCGUGAGACCUAUGGUUGAUUCCGUAUAACUAACGCAAACCUCGCUAUGAAUAUAUAUGUUUUAUAGUCUAGAUUUGAUAUAAGUCUAGUUUAGGAGGACUAUGACAAGCCUUCAUGACCCUUAUGAAGUGGGCUACACGCGUGCCACUAGAAUAUCAACAAUGUGAUACAAUACUGAAAAGUGGAGUUAACCAUCAACUGAUAUUAAUGUACGGAUUAAAGGCUGGAACUCGCCUUUAUGAAGUAGGAAUUCCGAGUAAUCGCGUAUCAUAACGACGCGGUGAA